GCUCCUUGGUUCAAAUUAAUUUUGUUCUAAAUCUAAUAACAUAGUACCUGUACUCUAAUUUUUGCUGCAAAGGUAUAAAGCAAAAAUUGCCUUGACAAGACUGGGGACAUUUUAAUCACCUUUGGGGCAAAAUGCUCCCUUGGUUCAAAUUAAAUUUUUGUUCUAAAUCUAAUAACAUGAAAACUCUGGACAUUUAUCAUAUGUGGUUUAUGUCAUUGUCUCAAAAACUAUGAUAGCCAAACUAUUCUGGACAUAUUAACUUUUGUUUCACAGAAAAAAAAAUCCUUAAGGGAGGUUUUCCCCCACUAUACCCUUUAAAAACUUUUUCAUGUAAACUGUAUUCACAAACACAAAUGUCUUGAUUAAAUACAUAAGAGAAAAGUAAUCUAGAAAACGUAUAAUGCUAUGACAUUAAAUAGGCUAACUCGUAUUUUUUUGCGACUGUGGGAUCUGUGUAGAGUAUUAUAUAGUGUAUAUAUAAGUAUAGUAAGUGAGAAAUAAAACAAAACCGGACUAACUGAACGAGACCGAAUAAAACUCGACUCGGUUCUUUGAAACCCAAUAAACUAAGCGGUGAAGAAUUUCAGAAGGUGCGCGCGCAUCGAGGUGACCGUUAUUAAUCCGUCGCGGCUCGCGCAUCCAGCGGGAACACACUGACGUGCUCCCACCAGAAGACACGGUCCUUUAAAUGUCACUUCAACUCACAAUACGGUACACGCCAAAAAUCAAAACCAAACUCAAUAAGGACUACAUUACCCAUAAGCCCAAGUGCUGGACUACAUCAAUCUGCUCUCCAUCAGAAACAGAUGCUCUCCAUCCUUGUUUGACAAAUUGCUGUUGCUCCAGCUCAGGAAUGUCUAGCUCUCUGUUUUUUGGUCUUCUACAUUGCUAAUUUGUUUUCUUUUUACAUUUACCUUUCUCUCCGCCCCUCUCUUAUCGCAUUCUUUCUUGUACAAACAUCCUCACAUAAUGUACUGUACAUGCUCACAUGCUAAAAAUCUCUCUCUACCAACCACAAGCAUCUGGAUACAACAGACAUAUUCAGAGC
rnacentral:lncRNA from 1 species